GGUGAUUUGCAUGGACCCCAGGAGGCUUACUAAAUGUGCACGUCCAAGUAAACAGCACAGGAAACGAGCCAUGAGGAUAUAAACCUGGUAAUUCUCCAUCAUAAGAAAGACAUCAUGCUGUCCACCUCAUGAAGGAAGAUGAGAUUAAGGCACACACACGGGGAGGGGCAGAAUUGUGUGAGAAACAAAGUAAGGGACAAUGUAGAGGACCCAGGACACGAAUUGGGGGCAUUUUACCUGGUCUGCACAUUUGGAACCUUGGGAAUUUGAGUAAGUAUUCAUUGUGAUUCUAUUUUAUUCCUUUUCUUCAUCAGCCAAAAGGUGGGGGUGGGGUG
rnacentral:lncRNA from 1 species